UACGUAGGGUGCAAGCGUUAAUCGGAAUUACUGGGCGUAAAGCGUGCACAGGCGGUUGUGCAAGACCGAUGUGAAAUCCCCGGGCUUAACCUGGGAAUUGCAUUUGUGACUGCACGGCUAGAGUGUGUCAGAGGGGGGUAGAAUUCCACGUGUAGCAGUGAAAUGCGUAGAUAUGUGGAGGAAUACCGAUGGCGAAGGCAGCCCCCUGGGAUAACACUGACGCUCAUGCACGAAAGCGUGGGGAGCAAACAGG
rnacentral:rRNA from 1 species